AGCUAGUUGGUGGGGUAAUGGCCCACCAAGGCUGUGAUCUGUAGCUGGUCUGAGAGGAUGAUCAGCCACACUGGAACUGAGACACGGUCCAGACUCCUACGGGAGGCAGCAGUGGGGAAUAUUGGACAAUGGGCGCAAGCCUGAUCCAGCUAUGCCGCGUGAGUGAGGAAGGCCUUAGGGUUGUAAAACUCUUUCAGUAGGGAAGAUAAUGACGGUAC
rnacentral:rRNA from 1 species